GCGGGGGUGGCCGAGCCAGGUCAAAGGCGCAGGGCUUAGGACCCUGUCCCGUAGGGGUGCGUGGGUUCAAAUCCCACCCCCCGCACCA
rnacentral:tRNA from 1 species